rnacentral:rRNA from 1 species
CAGCCGCCACGGUAAUUCGGAGGGAGCUAGCGUUGUUCGGAAUUACUGGGCGUAAAGCGCGCGUAGGCGGUUACUCAAGUCAGAGGUGAAAGCCCGGGGCUCAACCCCGGAACUGCCUUUGAAACUAGGUGACUAGAAUCUUGGAGAGGUCAGUGGAAUUCCGAGUGUAGAGGUGAAAUUCGUAGAUAUUCGGAAGAACACCAGUGGCGAAGGCGACUGACUGGACAAGUAUUGGCGCUGAGGUGCGAAAGCGUGGGGAGCAAACAGGAUUAGAUACCCGUGUAGUCCCUGUCUCUUAUAA